GGGCCCGCACAAGCAGCGGAGCGUGUGGUUUAAUUCGAUGUUACACGAAGAACCUUGCCUGGGUUUGACAUGUACGUGGUAGGGAAGCGAAAGCGGACCGACCCUUCGGGGAGCGUACACAGGUGCUGCAUGGCUGUCGUCAGCUCGUGCCGUGAGGUGUCGGGUUAAGUCCCGUAACGAGCGCAACCCCUGUCCUUAGUUACAAGUGUCUAAGGGGACUGCCGGCGGUAAGCCGGAGGAAGGUGGGGAUGACGUCAAGUCAGCAUGGCCCUUAUGUCCAGGGCUACACACACGCUACAAUGGCCAGUACAACGGGCAGCGAAACCGCGAGGUGGAGCGAAUCUCAGCAAAGCUGGUCAUAGUUCGGAUUGCAGGCUGCAACUCGCCUGCAUGAAGCUGGAGUUGCUAGUAACCGCGCGUCAGCUAUAGUGCGGUGAAUACGUUCCCGGGGCUU
rnacentral:rRNA from 1 species